rnacentral:rRNA from 1 species
GACCUCGGAUCAGGUAGGAAUACCCGCUGAACUUAAGCAUAUCAAUAAGCGGAGGAAAAGAAACCAACAGGGAUUACCUUAGUAACGGCGAGUGAAGCGGUAAUAGCUCAAAUUUGAAAUCUGGCUCUAGGGUCCGAGUUGUAAUUUGUAGAGGAUGUUUCGGGUGCGCCCGCAGUUUAAGUUCCUUGGAACAGGACGUCAUAGAGGGUGAGAAUCCCGUCUUGAACUGUACGGCAAGUCCAUGUGAAACUCCUUCGACGAGUCGAGUUGUUUGGGAAUGCAGCUCAAAAUGGGAGGUAAAUUUCUUCUAAAGCUAAAUAUUGGCCAGAGACCGAUAGCGCACAAGUAGAGUGAUCGAAAGAUGAAAAGCACUUUGAAAAGAGAGUUAAACAGUAUGUGAAAUUGUUAAAAGGGAAGCGUUUGCAACCAGACUUGUUUCUAACAGUUCUACCGCAGUUCUCUGUGGCUUAUUCUGUUAGUCCAGGCCAGCAUCAGUUUGGGUGGCUCGUUAAAGACUUUGGGAAUGUAUCUACUCCUUCGGGUGUAGACUUAUAGCCCAUUGUGUAAUAGGGUCUAC